rnacentral:rRNA from 1 species
UGCAGUCGAACGAUGAUGCCCAGCUUGCUGGGUGGAUUAGUGGCGAACGGGUGAGUAACACGUGAGUAACCUGCCCCUGACUCUGGGAUAAGCGUUGGAAACGACGUCUAAUACUGGAUAUGACUACCGGCCGCAUGGUCUGGUGGUGGAAAGAUUUUUUGGUUGGGGAUGGACUCGCGGCCUAUCAGCUUGUUGGUGAGGUAAUGGCUCACCAAGGCGACGACGGGUAGCCGGCCUGAGAGGGUGACCGGCCACACUGGGACUGAGACACGGCCCAGACUCCUACGGGAGGCAGCAGUGGGGAAUAUUGCACAAUGGGCGAAAGCCUGAUGCAGCAACGCCGCGUGAGGGAUGACGGCCUUCGGGUUGUAAACCUCUUUUAGUAGGGAAGAAGCGAAAGUGACGGUACCUGCAGAAAAAGCACCGGCUAACUACGUGCCAGCAGCCGCGGUAAUACGUAGGGUGCAAGCGUUGUCCGGAAUUAUUGGGCGUAAAGAGCUCGUAGGCGGUUUGUCGCGUCUGCUGUGAAAUCCCGAGGCUCAACCUCGGGCUUGCAGUGGGUACGGGCAGACUAGAGUGCGGUAGGGGAGAUUGGAAUUCCUGGUGUAGCGGUGGAAUGCGCAGAUAUCAGGAGGAACACCGAUGGCGAAGGCAGAUCUCUGGGCCGUAACUGACGCUGAGGAGCGAAAGCAUGGGGAGCGAACAGGAUUAGAUACCCUGGUAGUCCAUGCCGUAAACGUUGGGCGCUAGAUGUAGGGACCUUUCCACGGUUUCUGUGUCGUAGCUAACGCAUUAAGCGCCCCGCCUGGGGAGUACGGCCGCAAGGCUAAAACUCAAAGGAAUUGAC